AACGAACGCUGGCGGCAGGCCUAACACAUGCAAGUCGAACGCUGUAGCAAUACAGAGUGGCAGACGGGUGAGUAACGCGUGGGAACGUGCCUUUCGGUUCGGAAUAACUCAGGGAAACUUGAGCUAAUACCGGAUACGCCCUUCGGGGGAAAGAUUUAUUGCCGAAAGAUCGGCCCGCGUCCGAUUAGCUAGUUGGUGUGGUAAUGGCACACCAAGGCGACGAUCGGUGGCUGGUCUGAGAGGAUGAUCAGGCACACUGGGACUGAGACACGGCCCAGACUCCUACGGGAGGCAGCAGUGGGGAAUAUUGGACAAUGGGAGCAAGCCUGAUCCAGCCAUGCCGCGUGAGUGAUGAAGGCCCUAGGGUUGUAAAGCUCUUUCGCCAGGGACGAUAAUGACGGUACCUGGAUAAGAAGCCCCGGCUAACUUCGUGCCAGCCGCCGCGGUAA
rnacentral:rRNA from 1 species